GACGAACGCUGGCGGCGUGCUUAACACAUGCAAGUCGAACGGAAAGGCCCUGCUUUUGUGGGGUGCUCGAGUGGCGAACGGGUGAGUAACACGUGAGUAACCUGCCCUUGACUUUGGGAUAACUUCAGGAAACUGGGGCUAAUACCGGAUAGGAGCUCCUGCUGCAUGGUGGGGGUUGGAAAGUUUCGGCGGUUGGGGAUGGACUCGCGGCUUAUCAGCUUGUUGGUGGGGUAGUGGCUUACCAAGGCUUUGACGGGUAGCCGGCCUGAGAGGGUGACCGGCCACAUUGGGACUGAGAUACGGCCCAGACUCCUACGGGAGGCAGCAGUGGGGAAUAUUGCACAAUGGGCGGAAGCCUGAUGCAGCAACGCCGCGUGCGGGAUGACGGCCGUAGGGUUGUAAACCGCUUUCGCCUGUGACGAAGCGUGAGUGACGGUAAUGGGUAAAGAAGCACCGGCUAACUACGUG
rnacentral:rRNA from 1 species